AGUUUCCGCCUGGAACCCACAGCAUUUAUACCCAUAUCUUUAAGAUCCUCCAAGGUUAGUAAUGGCAAUAUCUCAUCAUCCACUUCGUGUACCUCGAAAACUGGAGCAUAUCGGCUCAAUCCCAAUUCAAUUAACCAAGUCCUCACUCCUUCGCUCGUGCCGCAAUUUCGGUCCCUGGAAUCCGAUUCCAGGUGAUUUUCCAUUUCCAUUGCAUCGUUUUCCCUACUCUCUGAAACCCUAGG
rnacentral:misc_RNA from 1 species